UUGAAAACGAAAAAAUUUUGUUUGGAUAGAGAAGUCUAUUACAGGGGAUUUGAAAAGAAAGUGCAGUCUUUCAAUAUAUGCUCCAAAUGAAUGAAUGCACUUCACAUAGCAAAAUGCAAUGCAAUCAUUCUUAAUGCAGUCUCACCUGGACAGUGCCAUGAAAUAACAUUCUGAUCUUUGAUGAAAGAAAAAAGUUCCAGCCCAUCAGCUGCUUUCAAGAUCAUGCAUUUGGCCCACAUGCAGUUUGAAUUUGAGAUUACUGCCUUUAUGUAAGCUUAUUGUCAAUCUUGGAAAGUGAAACUGCAUUGUAUAUUGCAUUAUUUUUGCCUUAGGUAGGCUGUGUAUUUAUAUUAUCAC